rnacentral:rRNA from 1 species
AUUGAACGCUGGCGGCAUGCCUUACACAUGCAAGUCGAACGGCAGCAUGAUCUAGCUUGCUAGAUUGAUGGCGAGUGGCGAACGGGUGAGUAAUACAUCGGAACGUGCCCUGUAGUGGGGGAUAACUAGUCGAAAGAUUAGCUACUACCGCAUACGACCUGAGGGUGAAAGUGGGGGACCGCAAGGCCUCAUGCUAUAGUAGCGGCCGAUGUCUGAUUAGCUAGUUGGUGAGGUAAAGGCUCACCAAGGCGACGAUCAGUAGCUGGUCUGAGAGGACGAUCAGCCACACUGGGACUGAGACACGGCCAAGACUACUACGGGAGGCAGCAGUGGGGAAUUUUGGACAAUGGGCGAAAGCCUGAUCCAGCAAUGCCGCGUGUGUGAAGAAGGCCUUCGGGUUGUAAAGCACUUUUGUCCGGAAAGAAAUGGCUCUGGUUAAUACCUGGGGUCGAUGACGGUACCGGAAGAAUAAGGACCGGCUAACUACGUG